UUUCCUGCUGAGAAGGCUGAGAAAAUCAUAAAACUUGCAGAAACCGAAUCGCCUAAUCCGAAACUCAUACUUCUUCAAGCUUCGAACCUCGGCUGUU